AUCGUCCCCUCGCUCCUAAGAUGACUGUCCAAGCCACCUGGACACAGCAGAACCAUCUGUUUUAAGGAUCUAAGAAGCCAUCUUUGAAAUGCUAUCAUCAAGAAAGAGAACAUCAAGGUCUCCCAGUUUCUGUAGGAGGGAAGGAGCCUGAACUGGGUUGCUCUGACAAGGACAGUUGGGGAUCUCCCCUGGUACUUCCAGCAAUGCCUUCAGUGGACCAUGAAGAUGGUAGCAACUUCCUCUCUGACUCAUGCAUAGGAGGAGAUUCCAACAUUUUGUCUGUCGUUCAGUCAACCAUCCACCUAUUAGCAGCACUUGGGUGAUGAAUACAGGACAACUCAAACAGUGCACGCUGAGAGCCUGCCCUUCUCUCAUGUGGAAUGCAGCGAGGUUUUAUUUUGUGAACCUGUGGAAAGCACUCUGUAGGUUACAUACCUGAGCUGCGUGGAUUCGGGGGGACAAUGGUGAAGUCACUAAAAUGCCUCCAACUCUUCUACUUUCUCCCCAUCGGAGAGGCUCCCUCUCACUAGUCCUAUCACAUAUACAGCUCUUAUCUUGGAGCACUGAUGUUCUCAAGUGAAAAGACAUGGUUGCCGCCCAGAAGGAACUUACAACUUUAAGGGCAACACCAAUGAGAAAAAUUAAAACAAAAUAAGAUAAAAAACCAGAUAACACAUGGAAUGAUGAUAAUGAUGAUAAUGAGGAUGAUGAUGAUGAUGAAGAAAAACUUGUCCAGGAAAGGAAUCAAGUAGACCGCAUGUCUCAGAGAAGGAAAUUUGACACAGAUGAGAAGGCCAUGUGAUGAAAGCAGAAGGAAGCAGAAUCGCAGAGAGAAGAUGCUACAUCUUUGGCUUUGGAGAUGAAGGAAGGGACUACAAGCCAAGUAAUGUAGACGUUUACCAGAAACCAGAAAAGGCAAGGGAAAGCAUUCUCCUCUAGAGCCUUUAGAGGAACUAUAGCUCUGCUGAUGCCUUGAUUCUUUUGUAGAGAAAUUGAUUUCAGGCCUCUGGCCUCCAGAACUGUAAGAGAAUAAAUUUGUGUUGUUUUAAGGCACUAAGUUGACAGUAAUUUGUUACAGCAACCAUAGAAAUCAAACACACCAUGGUUCAAAGACAUUUAUUAAGAAGGAAUUCGAUUCUCUGUAGAAGAUGAAAUAAUUCAGAGGCCAGAGGUCCUAGAGAGGCAGUAUGUACUAUAGGGAAGAGUAAUGACGUAGGAACU